rnacentral:lncRNA from 1 species
UCCGGAUUCGAUCCGAUCCAAUUGAGAAUCUGGUGUGCUAAGAGCAAGGUAUAAAACAGAAGGGGAAGAGAAGACGAGGAGAUUAUUUCUUUCCUGGAGUCUUGACUUGGGGCAGUCAACGGAGAUUCGAGAGAGACAGAGGGGGUUGCAGGGGACGCUGCGUUCCUCCCUGGCCUUUCCCUCCCCUUAGCUCCAGAGUCAUCGCAUCGCC